rnacentral:rRNA from 1 species
GACGGAGGAUGCAAGCGUUAUCCGGAAUGAUUGGGCGUAAAGCGUCCGCAGGUGGCAGUUCAAGUCUGCUGUCAAAGACCGGGGCUUAACUUCGGAAAGGCAGUGGAAACUGAACAGCUAGAGUAUGGUAGGGGCAGAGGGAAUUCCUGGUGUAGCGGUGAAAUGCGUAGAGAUCAGGAAGAACACCGGUGGCGAAGGCGGCCUGCUGGGCAGUUGCUGACACUGAGGCGCGACAGCGUGGGGAGCAAACAGG